CCUACGGGAGGCAGCAGUGGGAAAUAUUGCGCAAUGGGCGAAAGCCUGACGCAGCGACGCCGCGUGAGGGAUGAAGGUCUUCGGAUCGUAAACCUCUGUCAGCAGGGAAGAACGGUCACUGUGCUAAUCAGCAGUGAAUUGACGGUACCUGCACAGGAAGCACCGGCUAACUCCGUGCCAGCAGCCGCGGUAAUACGGAGGGUGCGAGCGGUAAUCGGAAUUAAUGGGCGAAAAUCACCCGUAGGCGGUAUGUCAAGUAAAGGGUGAAAUCCCCGCGCUAAACGUGGGAACUGCCGUUGAAACUGGCAAACUGGAGUGUGUGAGAGGAUAGUGGAAUUCCAGGUGUAGGAGUGAAAUCCGUAGAUAUCUGGAGGAACAUCAGUGGCGAAGGCGACUAUCUGGCACAUAACUGACGCUGAGGAGCGAAAGCGUGGGUAGCAAACAGGAUUAGAUACCCUAGUAGUC
rnacentral:rRNA from 1 species